rnacentral:rRNA from 1 species
GAUGAACGCUGACAGAAUGCUUAACACAUGCAAGUCUUUGGCGAAGCUGUGCUUGCACAGCCUAGCCAAGGCGGACGGGUGAGUAACGCGUAAGGAACUUGCCCUGCAGUCAGGGAUAACAGACGGAAACGACUGAUAAGACCUGGUAAAGUCAGGCGGACUCAUGUCCAGCCUGAUGAAAAGAGAUGCUGCAGGAGAGCCUUGCGUCCUAUUAGCUUGUUGGUGGGGUAACGGCCCACCAAGGCGAUGAUAGGUAGCCGGCCUGAGAGGGUGGACGGCCACAAGGGGACUGAGAUACGGCCCUUACUCCUACGGGAGGCAGCAGUGGGGAAUAUUGGACAAUGGGGGCAACCCUGAUCCAGCAAUUCUGUGUGCACGAUGAAGGUUUUCGGAUUGUAAAGUGCUUUCAGCAGGGAAGAAAAAAAUGACGGUACCUGCAGAAGAAGCGACGGCUAAAUACGUG